rnacentral:misc_RNA from 1 species
CUACUACCUUCCUUGGUGACCAAAACAGAUCCUUUUCUUCUCUAUAUAUAUAGUUCCCAAUUCGUUUAGGACUUUUCACAAGGGGGUGUGCAGAGCCUAAAGUGUGAUCUCUUUCUUUAUCAUAUCACUUCCUUAAACAAGAAAGGUGUGAUUUUUGUUAGAAGAUCAAUUUCAGCAAACAAAUGGAGGAGGAGCACGUCAAGAACAG